GACAGAGGUCUCGAGCGUUAGGCGGAAUCACUGGGCUUAAAGCGUGUGUAGGCGGAUUUGUAAGUACCUUGUGAAAUCCCACGGCUUAACCGUGGAACUGCUGGGUAUACUGCUUAUCUUGGGCCAUCUAGGGGCGAGCGGAACAAACGGUGGAGCGGUGAAAUGCGUAGAUAUCGUUUGGAACGCCAAUGGUGAAAACAGCUCGCUGGGGAUGUGCCGACGCUGAGACACGAAAGCCAGGGGAGCGAACGGG
rnacentral:rRNA from 1 species